rnacentral:rRNA from 1 species
GCGGUUCGCCGCCCCCGACGUCGCGAGAAGUCCAUUGAACCUUAUCAUUUAGAGGAAGGAAAAGUCGUAACAAGGUUUCCGUAGGUGAACCUGCGGAAGGAUCAUUG